UAACAUACAACAUGGCAUAAAUGAGCUCUUAAACAUCUACAAACCUCAUAUCCAUCACUAAGCAUGCAUAAUCAUUUCCACAAACCAUUCAUGAGGCAUUAUUAACUAUUUACCAAUCACCUUGCAUCAGUUACUAACUCAUCAAUGAAUCUCAUUUCAAUCUCUAGGCAUACAUGCUAUAAGCCACGUCACAAGAGAUAGUAUCAUACAUAUAUAUGAAUAAACAUUUAGGCCCACAACAUCAUUAGCCAACAUAGGCCAAUUCACAUGGCUACAACACUUUAUCAAUACAAGCCAACACCUUUGGCUAAAUCAUAAUAUCACAUACUCAACAUUAAAACCCUAUACAUGCCAUAGACUCGAAACACUAGGAUUUACUUACGCCGAUAGCAUUAACUCGACAGUGUGAUAAUAUCUCUGAUGGCCUCUAACCCGAGCUAACCUGGCAACCCUAGGGAACAUGGGAAAGAAAGAGGGGGUAAGCUUUAGGCUUAGUGAGUUCAUAUGAAAACAAUUAGCAGCUCAUUUACAUGUUUUAUCAAUGUUUACAACAUAUUCUCAAGUUCACAACAAGCUAUCUUCCUGAGUAACAUUCACUAAAUUAUUUAUAUCUGGAGCUACAAAACUCCAAAUUAAGUUCUGGUAAUUUUCCUUGAAACUAGACUCAUGUACCUUUAUACCAUGAAAUUUCCAGAAUUUUUGGUUUAGCAAAUUAGUACAGUUUAUUCGUCAAAUUUAACCCUGAUUCACUGUUUGACAGUUCAGACCCUUCUGCACUAAAGUUCAAUUAUCUCAUAGCUCAGGACUUGAAUAAUGUUCUCGUCUAUUUCUCUUGAAACUAAACUCAUUAAGGAUUCUAAGAAUACAAAACAUAACUCAUAAAUAUUGUUUUACAAUUUAUAAUGAUUUUCUCAAAUUAGAAUAGGGGAUCUCGAAGUCAUUUUGACUCUGUCCCACACAACUUCAAAUAUCUCAUUAUAGGAAAUUUUUUUGCUUACACGGUUUCUUUUAAAAGAAACUAGACUCAAGAAGCUUUAUUCCCAUAUUUUAUUUAGCUUCUAACUCAUUUUCACUAUUUUUAGUGUAUUUUCAAAGUUACACUACUGCAGUAACUUAAAUCUGUCAAGGCUAAAUUACUCAUUCAUGAUUAUUGUUCACAAAAUUCAUACAACAUCAUUUCACCCAUCAUGGUAAGAACACAUAUUUAUGCAUCAUAGAUCAUUCACAUACUAAGGCAUUCUCACAGGCUUAGUGUACAUACCUGCACAACUCGUAACAUAACUCAAAUGCAUACUCACCAAUGACUUACCUCAUUGGGACCAUCAUCAGCUCUUUUCUCAGAUUACCCGUUGAACACUUGGAAUACUAAUUGGAUACUCGGAAAAAUCUUUGCACAUAAAUGCCUCAAUCAUAGCUAAAGCUACCUCAUAUCUCAUAACCUUUAAAUGCUCACUCUCGAGCUAGUCAUCUAGACUCAUAAUUCCUAGUGACAUGUCACUCGUAUCCUAUUUUAUUCCUAAUGUUCAAACGGGAUUUCUCCUCGCCUAUUAAGGCUUUAUCUUAUCAUAUUUCUAUUAAUCACAUACACUUAAUAUUUGUACAAUUCAUGUAAUGAUAACAUUUAAAUACAUGUAUAGCAUGGUAUUGUUUACACACGAACUUACCUCGAUACCACAAAGGUGAAAAAGACAUAAUCGUCCAUAAACCAAUUUCCCCGUUCUAGGCCCAAAUCGCAUUUUUCAACAUCUAAAACAUCAUAUUUAGCUUAUUAAAACAAUGUACUAAUCAAAUUAUUCCAUUGACACACUUGGGCAAUUUUUACAAUUUUGCCCCCAUAUUUUGCCAAAAUUACCAAAUUACCCCUAGGCUCGAAAAAUGGUUUUUAUUCAAUUUAUUUACUCUUUAAGACUAGAUGAACUAUUUUAUAACUAUAGCAACUCACAAUAUCAACUAUUUCAUACACUUACACAUUAUCUUACAACUUAGCAAACUAGCCAUUUUUAAGGUGUUUUCAUGCAAUUUCUUUCACAAAAGUUAUUUAUUAGACAAAUAAGACUCAUAAUCUUCCAUAAAAACACAGCAAACAACACAUUUACUCUCAUGGCAAAACCCUAGACUCUUCAUCAUUUUGCAAACUAGACUCCUCAUUUGAAAGCUUAGGCUUUAGGGAUUCCAAAAAUGUAAAAAUCAUCAAGAAACAACCAAAUAUCACUUACUUGCUAGGGCUUAAAGUGGCUGAAAGUUUAAAGCUCAAAACCCCCAUUCUUUGCUGCCAUUUUCGGUGGAGAGAAGAUGAAGAAUGAAAGAGAAAAU
rnacentral:lncRNA from 1 species